rnacentral:rRNA from 1 species
GCGGCGCGUCUUAAACAUGCAAGUCGUACGGGAACCUCAGUGCUUGCAUUGAGGGGAGAGUGGCGAACGGGUGAGUAACACGUGGAUAAUCUGCCUUCAGGUUGGGGAUAACCCCGGGAAACCGGAGCUAACACCGAAUAAUAUGGUUUUUACACAGGUAAGAAUCAUUAAAGGUGGGGACCUUAGGGCCUACUGCCUGGAGAUGAGUCCGCGGCCCAUUAGCUUGUUGGUGGGGUAAUGGCCUACCAAGGCUACGAUGGGUAGCCGGCCUGAGAGGGUGGACGGCCACAUUGGGACUGAGAUACGGCCCAGACUCCUACGGGAGGCAGCAGUUAAGAAUCUUGCGCAAUGGGCAAAAGCCUGACGCAGCGACGCCGCGUGGACGAUGAAGGCCUUCGGGUUGUAAAGUCUGGUAAACAGGGAAGAAUAAGCAAAGGGUAAUAUUCUUUGUGAUGACGGUACCUGUCUAAAGCCCCGGCUAACUACGUGCCAGCAGCCGCGGUAAUACGUAUGGGGCAAGCGUUGUUCGGAAUUAUUGGGCGUAAAGGGCGUCUAGGCGGGGGAUUAAGUUGGAUGUGAAAGCCUUAGGCUCAACCUGAGAAUUGCAUCCAAAACUGGUUCUCUUGAGUUCGGGAGAGGAGAGCGGAAUUCCCGGUGUAGCGGUGAAAUGCGUAGAUAUCGGGAAGAACACCAGUGGCGAAGGCGGCUCUCUGGCCUAGGACUGACGCUGAAGCGCGAAAGCGUGGGGAGCGAACGGGAUUAGAUACCCCGGUAGUCCACGCCGUAAACGUUGUGUACUAGGUGUUAGUGGUUUAACCACUAGUGCCGACGCUAACGCAUUAAGUACACCGCCUGGGGAGUACGGCCGCAAGGCGUUAAACUCAAAGAAAUUGACGGGGGCCCGC